GAUGAACGCUGGCGGCGUGCUUAACACAUGCAAGUCGAACGGAAAGGCCCAAGCUUGCUUGGGUACUCGAGUGGCGAACGGGUGAGUAACACGUGGGUGAUCUGCCCUGCACUUCGGGAUAAGCCUGGGAAACUGGGUCUAAUACCGGAUAGGACCCCAUUUUGGAUGGUGUGGUGGAAAGUUUUUCGGUGUGGGAUGAGCUCGCGGCCUAUCAGCUUGUUGGUGGGGUAAUGGCCUACCAAGGCGUCGACGGGUAGACGGCCUGAGAGGGUGUACGGCCACAUUGGGACUGAGAGACGGCCCAGAUGCCGACGGGAGGAAGAAGGGGGGAAGAUUGCACAAUGGGCGCAAGCCGGAUGCAGCGAGGCCGCGUGGGGGAUGACGGCCUUCGGGUUGUAAACUCCUUUCGCUAGGGACGAAGCGUUAUGUGACGGUACCUGGAGAAGAAGCACCGGCUAACUACGUG
rnacentral:rRNA from 1 species